rnacentral:rRNA from 1 species
UACGUAGGUGACAAGCGUUGUCCGGAUUUACUGGGCGUAAAGAGCGCGCAGGCGGUCGAUCAAGUCGAGUGUGAAAGCCCCGGCUCAACUGGGGAGGGUCAUUCGAUACUGAUCGACUCGAAGGCAGGAGAGGGUAGUGGAAUUCCCGGUGUAGUGGUGAAAUGCGUAGAUAUCGGGAGGAACACCAGUGGCGAAGGCGACUACCUGGCCUGUUCUUGACGCUGAGGCGCGAAAGCUAGGGGAGCAAACGGGG